CUUAACUGAAUUUAGAAACAUGAAGGGCUGGAUAUCCGAAUUGGGAUAAAACGUAGCCCAGUUGGUGAAACACUACAUAUCCAAUGUUUCGCUUUGAUUUUUGCUCUUCUCAUCAUCUCUAAUCGCAAUUUACUUUAGAUCGGCAACAAGUUUUCAUAUAAUCGGUAAGUUUGUUAUUUAAUCUACCAAAUCUAGCGCUGCUGCAAUUUUCCCCAAUUUCUCAUGAACCCUAAUUUGCAAUUUAGUGCAGAUCGCCAGCUUAGGGGGCCUGUAUACAGCAUGAGUCCUCGAAGAGAGAGGCCUAGCCCUGACCCUGUGCGAGGCUCCAGCCCGAGAGAUGUGCUUACUCCCGAGUAUGAUCAUGGUCGGAUCCCUAGCCCUCGAACAGAGAGGGUUAGUCCUGAUGAUUACCGUCGUUAAGCUAGCCCAGAUUUAAAGCAUGAGCAUCAGGACAGUCCCGGAUACAGUGGACGAGAAGCCCUAUACCUGACAGAUACCAGAGGUAUGUGUUGGCCUGAAGGUUUUUAAAGUUAGUUUAUAUAGUUUAUCUGAAUUUUUGUUUUAAUCUGUUAUCAAAUGUUGAUUUGAGUUUUGUGGAUAUGCAAUUUUAUAAUGUGCAUUUUCUAAGUUUGUUACUGAGUGUAAAGUGUUUGAAAAAAUACCUGACUGUGCAUUGGUUCGUUUAUCUAAUGCUAUACUGUCUAAAUUGAUCCUCUUGCACUGGGAAAUCAACUAAUUUAAUCGCGUUUGAGGUCAUUUUCUUGUCCAUAGCUUUUGUAAUAUAAAAUUUAGUAGUGUGGUAUGUUACAAUUGUGCAAUAACUUGGAGGUUAUUUUGACUGUGAUAGGAUGAAUUAGAAAUAUAGAAUUUAGUUGUUGUUGUGCUUCAAGUUUAUUAUAGAAUAAUAUUAACUGCCAGUAGCCCAGGCCUUUCAUUCGGUUCCCUAGUUUUUGUAUGAUGUUGACUGUUUUUUAUUGAUGCAUGUUAAAGUGUACUUUGAUGGGUUGGCAUGGUUUGGGCCAGAUGGUCUGGUCAGCUGCUACAAUCUAUGCCUUUUUGGAUUGGGGUUGGACUGCUUUGACUGCAGUUGUGUCUAGGCAGCUGUGUCUGCUUUUCUGCAGCUGGAGGCUGGAUGUCGUCGCCUUUCGGUUGGGUUUCCGGUUUGGUUAUACAAAAUAUCUCGGCAGCUGGGUUUUGGUUGGGCAUGGAUGCUCAUGCUCUUGUUUCUCAGCCGUUCUUUCUCUUUGUUGGUGGGCCGUUGUGUUUAGUUUUAUCUGUGUUGCUGGGUUAUGUUGGGUUCAAUUUGGGGCUUCAAUUUUGUUGAUAUGACCUGAUGUGUGCUGCUGGACAAAUUUUGGCUGUCUUGCAGUUCUGCCUAAUGUUUGGUGGUUGCAGGUUUCAAUCUGUUUCAAGCCAUUUGUUUGCAGGUGUUGAGCAUGGGCUGGACUGAUUUCGUGCAGCUAUUUUCUAGGCAGCUGUUGGAUUAAAAUAGAAAGGAUGUGCUAUUUGGAUGCCUGUUUCCACUGCUGCUUGUUGCUGGUUGUUGCUUGUUUGCUGUUUGGCCUAGUUUUAGCUAAAUUUAGCAGAACGAAAACAACAAGAAAUUGGUGGUUACUUUUUUUGUUCCUUAUUUUGCAAUUAAAAAUCUUCUAUACUAGUCUCAUUGAUUCCUACUUUGUAAGCAGCUUCUCACAUUAGCAUAUUGCUUUAUGUUAAAUCAUAUUGUGCAGCAUAGUGAAUAAGGAAAAAGUUGGACCAGCAUCUCUAGUAGGCUCUAUCACUUUCAGUUCACCACUUGAGCAUCUUGGGUUAACCUCAUUUAUGGCUGCAAAAUAUUGUGGGCAGUCUAAUUUGCAUGCUGUUACACAAUCUUGUCCUUCUCCUGGAAUCUCUUUCAUACACACUGUGCAGUUGUAAUUUGCAUGCUGCACAAGUAUCACGUAUCACAAAUGUUAAUUCAGUUCAUGGACUUGUAAAAUCUAAAUGCGAAGAGUCGAUGGCAUCUACCGCCCUUAAAGAUAUACAUAUGGUAACAACUAAGAGCUACUGAUCUGUAUAUUGAAAUGUAUCAUGUAAUUGCACUGAUGUCAAGUCUUUCAACAAUAUUUUGUUGUUUCAUUAGUCCUCUGUUACUAGUAGAAAUAGAUUACAACUCAGUUCUUUUCUUUCAGCCAGAACGGCUGAUGGAGAAUUUUUAUAUCCACCAUUCUGCAGCAGUUGUCUAGAGUCCAGUUUAGCAUAGCAAGGUUCGACGGGGAGAGAUCGGCGAGUACUGAGUUUAGUAACAAUUUUGCUGCAACCGCAUACGGUUUUACAAACCUUCCUUCCCUCUCUUCCACACCCACAGUCAAAACUCGUAAUCGUUUUUGUUCCAUCCCCUGCACUAAUUUCUUCAGGCCCAAUUUGGGUUCCCUCAAAUCCUACAGGUAAAUUAUCCCUCUUCUGGUGUGUAGCUUUCCCUUUAACUUGUUUUUUAUUUUUUUUAUUUUGCUCUUUGCAUCACUAUUUGAACUAUUUAUGAUAUCCAACAAAAAUAUAUUUAUAGUUCCCGGUUCUGCUUUACAGACUGGAGAUUUCUCAUAACCUGAGAAAAACAUCGAAUUGUUUGUUUGGGGUUCUUGUAGUUUCUUGUUUGGUUGAUGAUAAUUCUAAAGCAAAUGCUGAAUCAGUGUCUUCUGCUUCAAAUGGCUCCAGCCCGGUAUAUUCUUAUUGAUGCAAUAAAUUUUUAUAGAUUAAUGUUCCUUUGGCACUAAUCAAAUUUGAGGUCUUUAUGCUAUUCAUGCUAUAAACUAAUCUCCAGUGUUAGUAUGCAUAGGUGGGCAAUGUGAGUUUGAUUGCGUUCACACCUUUAUACAUAUUUUAGUUUUUGUUAGGUACCAAUAAUUUUUAUAGUUUUUUGAAUUUGAAGGUUAAUGUUGAAUGUAUUAGGAUUGAUUAGUGUGGAUAGUUGGAAAAUUGUGCAAUAGUCAGUAAGUGAAAUGUGUUAAAUAUAGAUAAAAUGUCUUAUUAAUAUAUAGAUACCAGCACCUUUAUGAUCAUAAUUUUUCUUCAUUUUUCUCACUUUGCUAUUAUUUUUAAAUAUGUGCAGGAAGACUGCUUCUACUUUCUGCCUUACAAUAUUGGAUAUCAAAUUUUCGUGAUACGUUUACGAAAGACAAGGGACGAAAUUAUGAAGUGUACUCUCUCUAUAUAUGUAGAUAUAUACUUUGAUUGAAGAAAUGUGGUAGCUUUAGAUGGUUAAUUGUAAAGAUAAUUAAUGAUUAUGUAGUGGAUGAUUUUAUUACGUCAAUAAUAUUUAGUUUUUUGUAUUUUUGUCAUUAUUUGCUAUGGGCACAUUGAGCCAGUUAGGUACACAAAAAGAAUGUCAAAUUUUGAUUUGGCAACAAUAUAAUUCGUUAACAAAGCAUUGAACAAGUUUUAAUAUAG
rnacentral:lncRNA from 1 species